rnacentral:tRNA from 1 species
GGGGAUGUAGCUCAGUGAUUGACCACUUGCUUAAUAUGCAUGAGAUGCUGGGUUUAAUCCCCAGUUUUUCCA